rnacentral:lncRNA from 1 species
GAUAGACGAUAAACUUCCAUACUACGGUGAAUAACAAUUACUAUUCAUGGUAACAAAUUGAAGAAAAAGGAUAAACAUUACUCUGGAGCAUGAUAACCAAAAGUUCCCAGAACACGAGUAGAAUGCAGUCGUGCAGCCAUGUCAGGGGCCUGAUUUGAUAGGUUGAAAUCUGCAAUUUUGGCUUUGAAAUCCUCGAAUAGAAGCACAUUGCUCGAUCUGACAUCUCGGUGUAUUAUGGAAGGCUGAACCUUCUCAUGCAAAUAUUCCAAACCCCUUGCUGCAUCAACUGCAAUUCUGACUCGCUGCAUCCAGUCCAGCACUGGACCAGGUUGAGCCCCCUGAACUCCCUUUCGGCCUGUUAAUUGAGUCAUAAGCAGUGCCGAUUAAUAUAAUUGCAAAAUAUAAAAAGAAUUCCCCCAUCAAUUCUAAUUCAAAAGAAAAGAUAAAUUGUGACCAAACCGUGCAAUAUGUCAUGAAGCGAUCCCAUAGUUGCAAACUCAUAAGCAAGCACUCUGAGAUUUCCCGCCACACAAUAACCUUGCAAUUCCACAAAGUUUUCAUGUUUCAAUCUUGAUACCAUAGAAACCUGAAACAUUGUUGAAAAACACCAAUAUUGAUUAAUAAUAAUAACAUAAAAGCAUAAUCUCGAGUGAUAAAGACAUCCAAAGGUUAAGAAAUAUACGGUUGAACAGAGAGCUAUGCAUAAAAUUGAACUAUGGAAUAAUAUGUAGAAACUGCCCAUUUAUUUCAUCAACUUGAAAGCUACCUGAGUUAAGAAUUCGUUAUUGGUUUCUGGCUCACUCGACACGUCAAGUUUUUUCACAGCCACAGCUUUCCCAUUAUCUAAGUUUGCAUAAUACACCCUUCCAUAAGAUCCUUCACCGAUAAGUGCCUUCGACCCAAAAUUAUCAGUUUUCUCUUUCAUUUCAUCUAAUGAUAGAGCAGGCACUUGAAUAGGCGGCACUUCCUUUUGUACUUCAGGUUUGACAAGGGCUGAUGCAUUUGUGCCUUUUGGGUGCCCUGUCCAACAAAGAUUGCCAAAUAGGAUUAUUAUCAUAGUGUAGUGCACAAUCCAGGAAAUUAUGUAAAUACAACAUCAAACUUGAAUAACACCACAUUGGACAGUUCAUAGCAACAACAAAGAACAGAGCAUACUCAGCUUAAUUAUUAAGAGCAAACACAUAGCAUCAGCCCCAAAACUACGAACUACACCAAAUAUCUCUAAUCAUCAGUAAAUUGACAUUAGCAGACAAAGGUAUACAAGUUUUAUACUAAAAAUUAUCUACGGGAGAGCUAAAAAUAUAACAAAGAAGUGCAUUGCAAAUAAAAAACCUAACAGUUUAAUUUUUCCAAUACCUAACGAAAGUGUAGCUUCGCUUGCAACAAUGAAACAGAAAUGCAUUGUUCAUCAACAAUAUAACGAACUAACGAUAUUUUAUCUUAGAAGGGGAUUUAACACACAUAAAAAUCAACGAGGAAGCCAGAUAUAUUUAAAGAAUAGAAAGUGAAGUCCCCACAUAUUCUAUUCCAACCAGAAACUGUAGCAAUACACAACAAUGAACACCUCAACAGGCUACCCAAAGGUAACCGAUUGAUUUCAGGGGAAAAAGGUAACCGAUUGUGCUGAACCUUAUGGUAGGAAGCAGAUUAAAGGAAUAAGAUGACAAGAAACGUACCAUCAUGGUUGUGCUUUGGGCUCGUAAGGAGCUCAUUUUCAUGUGCUGUGUAUGCCUCCUCCAUUUGGCAGGUGCAGCAAAGCCACCGACGCAUCUUGUCUCUCUUCCUCAAAUGUAAAUCUUGAUCGUGUUCGUGUUCAGCCCCUGAUUUCUCCAAGCGUACAAAGCAGGCAGGAGAAGGCGUAUGCGACUGUUGAAAAAAUAUAUUAACACCCAUUAUAUCACCAUAUGAAAUCAACUAUGUAAAUCAUAGCCCCCUAUGAUAAAAUCUAAUCAGAAAUCUCAACGAACAAUCAAACAAUUCAACCAGCCAAGGGGCUGGAUUAUAAUGAAUGGAUAGAACAAUUGGAAUGAAAUCACAUCCCGCAGUCUUCAUUUCGCAUUUGCAAUCACAACCAAAUCAGCGUCAGAGAAUUGAAUUGAAUACAUCCCUGAGAAUCAAUCCAAUCAAAAGCAACAAAAACUGAAUCGAGAUCAAUACCAAUUUCAAAACACGAAAGCCAAAUACAGAGUCCUCACCACGAGAUUAUAAGAAUUAUAAUCCUUCCCCUCCAUCAAAAGAAGAAAAUAAACAGAGAAGGGGAGGGAGAGGGGAGACGCGUCGGUAGCUGAGCCGAUGCCAAACAAAAGAAAAAUAAUGGCGGGGUGGGGGAGGGAGAAAGGAAAGAGACGAGGAUUUGGAGAAGGGAGUGGACAGAAUUAAGAGGCGGGAAAACAGAAGCGAGAACCAUUAGAUUGCAACCGAAAUUGUGGGGAAGACGAAGAACCAUUCGAUAGAAACAGAUUGAGAGAGCGAUGGGAAAAGGGUUGAUUACCGGUAGAGCUGAUAGCUUCUGGGCGUUUGAUUCUCUCUUUGUCUCUCUCGCUUUCUCAGAGAGAAAUUCGGUUGCUCUGUUUCUUCUUCUUUCUUAUUUUACAGUGAAAAGUGGAAGGGCUGCCUGGAUUGGAUUCGUUGGAAUUUGUCUGUAAAGAGAAAACGCCGGAAGAGAGAGAAACACGGCUAAUUGUAUGAGAGAGAGAGAGAGACAACGGGGGACCGAAUCUGUAAUUUCCACCGGAUAUGUCAAAAUAUUGCAAACUUAUCACUCAAAAUAUUUAUGUUUCUUUAAAAGUCACUAAUCUAUUUUCAAAGUUGCACUCCACUUUUUCGUCAGUUUGUCCGUCAGGACAGGCAGGAUUGUAACUGCACGCCUGUUUUUUGGUAAAAUGCACACCUUUUAUUUAACUCAGACACUUCCCAUAUUUGCAGUGCUCCCAAUUAAGCGAGAACAUAACGAUAGGUCAAUUUUAUAGAUGAUGUAGUGCUUUCUAGGAAUAAACCAUCACGUGUUGAUAGCUUAGUUGGCUGGAAGUGGCGUCAAGAUGUUGAUGUGAUUCUUAAUAUGGAUGGCUCGGUGUUACAACCGAGUGGAAAGGCGGCAGGUGGAGGUAUUUUAAGACUAGCAACAGGAGCUUGCAAAGCAGCCUUUGCGGCAAACUACGGUACAUGUACUAUCACUCUAGCUGAAUUGAGAGCGGCAAUCUAAAGCCAUUCGCUGGCUUGGGAUUUAGGCUACAUACGAAUCCAUUUGCAGGUCGAUUCGGCCAUCAUGCUUGCUUUUCUCAAGGGCAACAACUCACAUUACUUGAGACAUGACUCCUGCAUCAAUGAAUCACGAUCGUUGAUUAAUUGUAAUUGGAUGGUUUUUUUACUCAUACCUAUCGAGAAGGGAAUCAUGUUGCCAACCUCCUUGCUCAUCAUGCUCAUUCCUUCCCUUUCGGAUGCACCGCAUUUCCUUUUUUCCCCUAAUAUUCAUGAUUGUAUUAAAGCUAAUUUGAUUGGGGUCUUAUUCUCAAAAACGGCUAUUAUUAAUAAUUAGGACCUUGAGUCCCCUUUCGACAAAAAAACAAAUUACCUCCAAAACGAGUUGGUAUAAUUCUUAACGGGUGAUGUCGAUAGCGUGGCGGGGAUAUGUUUUUAACUUGAAACUUCGGAGGCGUUGGGUUUAAAAUUUAAAUGUUUUUAUGAUGAUUUUAAUCGACAUUCUAGUCUCUAAACAGUACUACAAUAUAGUUAAGACAUGUUUACUGUAGAUUUACUCUCAAAAUUAUCAUUUUGUACUCCAUUGAGUCAACAAUAAAUGUAGAGGACUCGAAUGAAAUGUUAGUUUUAAAUUUUUGUGGGUAAAAUAAAUAAAUAAAUAAUAACGCAGGAAUGUUCAAAAAUAACGUAUAAUUAUGGAAAUCGUGGAUACUAAGCUAUGAAAAGACACAUUUUUCCUCCGGAGUUUCCUUCUUCAUAAUUCAUAUCAGCUAGAGGAGGACGACGGCGGUGCCGCGUUGGAACUGAAGAUUUUUAUAAAUAACAUUCCCUCGUGUAUUACGAAAAUUUGAAAGGAUUUCUUUCACCAACGUUCAGUCUUUCACAUUAUGUCAAAUAUGCACGAGGCUUUCGAGUCCGGAUAUGCAGCCAAUAAAAAGAUUAUUUGCUGGCGGCAAAUAAAUCCCGACCAUCCAUUAUAGACAUUCAAUCGGACGAACAUUAUUGUUAGCAGGGUAAUUUUGAGAAACACAACACAUCAAAAGAACAAAAUGCGUACAUCUCCACUCCACCGCGGCCGAUGUCUUCUUCUUCAACCUCCACCACUGUCGGAGCUCAAUCUUCCACCACCUGGCCUCGUUUGUUUGAACUUUUUCUCCCUCAGAAACUUAACAAGAAGAAGACAUGCAAGAGGCUUCCUACGUGCUAGAGGUCGAAACAUUAUGGGAUCGAUCACAUAGGGUAAGAAUUUUUUAAUUUAUACUACUAUGGUUUUGGAAAGUACAACUUUUGAUUGAUGGUAAUGUUGUUCUAAUUCAGAAUGAGGAUAAGUUCAUCUUAAUUAAGUCAAUUUGCAGUUUGCAAAUGCUUACAACACAACUGGAUGAAAUAUUAUCCUCGUGCUGGUUUUAGGCCAUUUGCAGUAUGCAAAUGUUUACACUAGGCCAGGUUUUAUAUUGAUUUUUGCAAUUGGGAUGAUGGUAUUUAUCGACAGACUGCAUAUGCAUGAAUCAUUGGAUGGUAUCCAAGAAGCGGUUAAGAUAUAUACUCAUAAGAAAUAGCGGCAGAAUCAAAAUUGUUCGAUUGCACUGGACGGCCGGAUUGUAUAAAAGUUACUCGAGUUUCAUAUAAAAAAUAUGUUUACUAACCUAUACAUAUAAUGAAAAUUACAUAUUAUUGAAGUUUUAGACUUGAAAGUGGAUUGUGUCGGAUUCCGAGAAGGCCUCUGGGUAGUGAGCUCAUACAACAACAUUAUUCUGAAGUCACCAUUUUUCGUUAGAUGAUGGAUGAUUGACGUUAAACUUGUUUAUCAGGAAAGCAACUAUACAAUAGAUUUCUUAAGUGGCAUAUAUGUCAUUAUUUACUUAUCGGUGUUUAUUAUAUUUAUGUUUCUAAUCAUGGGGUGGAUUGGAGGGGGGCUCGUGAAAGUCGCGACUCAGGGUAAUUUCGGCCCGGAGCAGUAAAUUUAUGUAUAUAUUUGCGAUUGUCUUGAGUUCGUCUCAGGCAGUUUUAGAUCCGGCUCAACACUUGAUAAUCAUACUUUUUAGGGCUAGGAAUUCGGUUUCGAGUAAUCGGUCAAAAUUGGUUAACCAAUGGAAUCGAUUAAAAAUCAGUUUAAUCAAAAUUAGGUUGGUCGGUGAAACGGUCGAUGCAUUGGUGAAAUCGGUUAAAAGUCGGUUAACCGUGUUUAACCGAAAAAAUGAAAUUAUCCUCAAACCUAAGUGAAAUUACCACAAAUUCAAUGAAAACUAUCACAAUUUUGGCAUUAAAGUGUUGUUAAAUUAGUCGGUCGGUUAACGGUCGGUUAACAAUCGAUUAGUUAAACGUGACGGUAGGUUAAAAAAGUCAACCGAUUUGAAUGUUUUGUUAAUUUGCCCGACGGUUAAUAACCGAAUUAAUCGACUCUCACGUCUAAUAUUUUUGUCUCAAUUCAUAAAUUUUCAAUUCAAAACAGGCUUAAUGCAUUUCGAUCUUGGAUGGGCCAUUGUUCUAAUCAUGUAUUAUUAUUUUUUCCCAAAUCGGUAACAUCAUAUUUCAUGAAAUCAUAGCAGACAUGGAUUCUAAUCGGAGUUGCAGUCCUCAUUAAUGAGACUAACAUGGAUCGUAAAUCAUUGCCCAAGCAAACACCUCACUCAUUUCUCUCCAACAAACAAACAUCCGGACGGGAUUCACCCUCCAUAACAAAAUUUAUCAAAAUUCGAAUGUAAUAUUAGGAAAGAAAAUUACAAAACAAGAAGACAAAAACGUCAGCCAUGAAGAGAUUUUCUAAAGUGAGUAUGGCGAAGGAAGGCUAGACCAUGGCCGUGUAGCUAGCGCGUCAAUGUUAUUGAUCUACCCUUCCUUAUGGGCCGAUUGAAGGUGGUGAUGAUGCUAUCGCGGUUGCAAACGCGGUUUGCAAAGCAAUUGGGAGAUGAGUAAUCGCCAACAGUGACGCGCCGGUCCCGUUGUUGGAGAUGUGGCUCACCGUUCGGGAUGAGUAAUCAUGUACUGUUCCUUCACACUUUGAAAGUCCAAGUUAUCUUAAACAAAGACCGACGAUGAUGACUAACAGAAACCAAAAAUCUUCCCCAAGUCUAUGGCUUUAAAUUACAGAAGUUGUUGGAAGUAUGGUGGGCUGAUUAAAUAUUAUCUAAAACUUGCUGAUUGAUUCAGAGAAUAAGAAAAGUUUGGGAUGGAUAGGGAAAGUUGGGAAGGCUAUUUUAUUUUGAUUGGAGGAGGGAUAUUGAAGUUGACAGAAAAUAUUUUUGUAUAUGAAUUUAUGUGUAGGAAAGAGGCAACGAAAUAGGGCAGACAAAUUCUGUCUUUUUUUGGCUAUAUUUUUUUAGUUUCUGAAUUGAUUUUUCAUAUAACAUAAAUGACUCCUAUUUAUAAAAAUUCUUAUACAUAAAAUAAUAUUAAGCUAGUGUAGAUUUUUUCACAACCAACUCAACUCUAGUGAUUACAAUUUUUUUAAUAUUUUAAUAUAACUUAUUCCAUUAAUGAAGAUAGUUGACAAUUGAGUCUCUAGAGUUCUCUACACUUCUCUCUUCAUAUGCAAAAAUAUUUUUAAUUAAACUUCAAAUUAUUUCAACAAAGACCACUCAGUGAAAGUUCCCCAUCCCAUUGCACACUUGUGAGCUGAAUCUCCCAAAUAUAUCUAUCUGUUUCAAUUCUCUACUUCUCCAUUUUACGACAUGUCCAAUCCUGAAGAGUACGAGGUUUUCUUGAGCUUCAAAGGUCUCGAUGUCUGCCAAACAUUUGCGAACCCCCUCCGCACUUGCCUUGUUCGUUCCGGUAUUCACACGUUUGUCAAUGACGAAGAGCUCUCAAAGUGGGAAGCCAUCGGCCCGUCCCUUGUCAAACCUAUAACCAAGUCCAAGAUCCUUAUCCGAGAACUAUGCUUCCUGCAAAUGGUGUCUCCGGGAGCUAGCUACAGUGGUCGAUUCCUGCAAGGCAGGAGGAGGAAAACAGAUUAUGCUACCUAUUUUCUACCGUAUUGAUCUGAAAGACGCUUGGCAUUCAGGUCCUUACAAGGAAGCAUUUGAACAACACAGCCUGAAGCAUGAUCCUAUGACUGUAAUGAAAUGAAAGGAAGCACUGGGAGAGGUUGGCAUGACGAAAGGAUGGCACGCCACUGAAUCGGAUAGGUAACUAUUAACACAUGUCUCUUUAUAUGCAUAUGCAUUCUUUCUCUAUUUCGCAUUGUUAAUAUGUCAACAUAAAGGGAUUAAUGUACAUCUAAUAAGAGGUAAAAUACUUUAAAAUAUAAUGAGGUUUAGGUAUAUAUCGAGAAUUGUCGUCACUUUUUUGAUGUAGAUUUUGUAUCACCAAAUUUGAAAUUUGAAGCUAAAUGUGUCACGUCUUUAAAUUAUUCGGUCCACAUGCUGACGUGAACCCAACGCCAUUAAGUAAGUCAGACCAGUCAAAGCCACAUAUUAUUUUUAAAUAAUUUUUUAAUAAAUAAAUAAUAUUUUUUACUCAAUUAAAUAUUUUUUUAAUCUUCUUCCUCCCUAUAAGAUGAAAUCACUAUCCAUUAUUGGGAUUUCAUGAUAGUGAUUUCAUGACGGAAAUCUCGAGUAUGGGGCAUCUUCAAGAAUCUGGUCCAAAUGCGAGAAUGGUUUAGGAAAUCUAAUAAAUUUAUUUUUAUGUACGACUACAUGUCCAAAGAGAGUCUAAAUAGUUACAUCUUUGCCAAAUUGAUCAAGCUCCUCAACGGGAAACGGCGCCGCCAAAUCUUAGCCGACGUAGCCGAUGGCUUUGAACUUGUUGAAGGAUAAAGUUUUAAUAAUCAAAUAUUAAAAAUAUCUACGGUGGAAAAAUGAAGAGAGUUCCAAAAAAAUGAAGGAUUGAGUGAUGUCCAUUUUUGGAGAUUUUUGCAAUUGCCAACUAAACCCAUCUGAUGUAAUAAAUUAAUAAAAAAAAUUAGUGUCCACAAAUCUAAGUCGGUUGAAUCUGAUAAGUAAAAAAUCUGAAUAAUUAUAUAGUAUAAAUUAUUGUAUAAAUAGGUUAUAUGAUAUUUGGUCAAAGUGUGUUCGAAAAACAAGAAAAAAUAAUAAGCAAGAGUUUCAUUUCUUCCCUAUUUGGUUGCCUCUCUCUUCCUACUUAAUCUUUUUUUUUUUUGACAAUUUCAAUAACCCUUCUGCAAUCAUAUUUGAGCCUUUUCUCACGUUCUAUCUCCCACCACAAACUUACCUUAAUAUCCAAAUCAGUCACUAAGCUUAUACAAAUAUUAGUUUUCCCACCAUACUUCCAGUAAAGUAAUAUCAGAGUAUUGAACUUUUCAUUUAUGUCAAAAUUCACCUAAAUGGCCAACAAUUCACAUACCACCUUCCAAGUGCCUUUCCUCACGAAGACAAAUUAUAUGAGUUGGUGUCUCCGCAUGAAAGCGUUGCUAAGAUCGUAAGAUGUGAGAGAUAUCAUAGAGAAAGGUUAUGAUAUUUCGGCUUAAGGUUCCGAGCUAUCUUCUACUGAAAUGGAGGUUCUAAAAAAAAGUCAUAAAAGUGACCAGAAGGCACUAACUAUUAUUCAUCAAAGUCUUGAUGAUGCUAUGUUUGAGAAAGUGGCAGAAGCAACAACCUCCAAGCAAGCGUUGGAUAUUUUGCGUGUAUCCCUGCAAGGUGAAGACAAAAUAAAGAAAUUUCGACUUCAAACUUUGUGAGGAGAUUUCGAGUCGUUGAAGAUGAAGUAAGGUGAAUUGGUGCUGGACUACACAUCACGGGUGAAAUCUGCUGUCAAUCAAAUGAAGCAAUAUGGAGAGAAAAUUGAAGAAACCCGAUUGGUAGAGAAAGUUUUACGAUUGCUCUUGCCAAUGUUUGGCUACGUGGUGUUGGCUAUUGAAGAAGCGAAAGACGUCUCAAAAAUGACCGUUGAAGAACUUGUUGUAUCCCUACAGGCACGAGAAGAAAGGCUAGAAAAAUGAAAGGAGGAAUCAGAGGAGCAAGUCAUGACGAAACAGACGAAAGUCAAGGUGAAGGAAAAUACACGAGGAGGAACAUGCUACAGAGGCCGAGGAAGAGGUCAAGGUUCAAGUAGCAAAGGCAGAGGAAGAGGUCGAUGAGCAUACAACAAAAGAGACGGAACAGCCGAUGCCGAAAAUGGAUCUUCCACUCAAUCCACCAGAGGAUGAGGUCGUGGACGUGGAAGAGGAACCUCGAUAUCAAAUGAAGGCCAAGAUAAACCCAGCGUCCAAUGCUACAACUGCUCAAAAUAUGAGCACUAUGCCUCAGAGUGUUGGAGUCCGCCUAAGGAAGUUGAAGAAACGGUGAAAAAAUCGAAGAAGAAAUUGUCAGCAGCAAGGCGUUGCCAUCCUACUAUGGUGAAGAAAGGCGAAAUGAGAACACGUAGUACCUUGACAAUGCAGCAAGCAAUCACAAUGUGGGAAGAAUAACAUGUUCAUGAAAAUCGAUGAAUGGGUGAAAGGAAAUCUAGUGUUUGGAGACUCGUCGAAAGUUCAAAUUAAUGGAAGACGUACGAUUCUAAUCCGAUCAAAAGAUGGUUCUCACUUGUUUAUUCAUGAUGUCUACUAUGUUCCAAGAAUGACAUACAAUAUAUCGAGUCUCGGGAAAUUAUAGGAGAAGAAGUAUGAAGUUCAUAUGAUAGAUCGAUAAUUGGAGCUGCGGAAUGAUAAGAAGGAGCUGGUUGCCAGAGUUCCGAUGUCAAAGAAAAGAAUGUUCCCCUUGAACAUCCAACCAGACACGGCGAAAUGCUUGAAGACUUGCAUGAAGGAAGAUAACUGGAUCUGCCAUCUAAAAUUUGGACAUCUAAAUUUCGGAGGACUGAAAUUACUAAGCCAAAAGAAGAUGGUGCAUGGUUUACCGAUCAUCAAUCACCCAUAUUAACUUCGUGAAGGAUGCCUCGUUGGAAAGCAAUUUCAGACCAGUUUUCUGAAAGAAUCACAAUCAAGAGCGAAAUCGCCACUCGAUCUAGUCCAUACAGACCUUUGUGACCAGCCACCCCAAUGUAGUUGGGUAAGAACAAAUAUUUCCUACUAUUUAUUGAUGAUUAUACCCGGAAGACGUGGGUGUAUUUUUUGAAGGACAAAUCUGAAACAUUUGGAGCGUUCAAGGCGCUUGUAGAGAAUGAGAGUAGCUGCUACAUCAAAUUCCUGAGAUCAGAUAGAGGGCAGAAUACAUUUCUGGAGAUUUCAGAAGGUUUUGUGAAGAACAUGAAAUCCAACACGUCAUAUAUGUCUGAAGACCCCCUCAACAAAAUGGCGCUGUAGAGAGAAAGAACAGGACGGUACUCAACAUGGUGCAGAGCAUGCUGAAGAGCAAAAAUCUACCGAAGGAGCUAUGGGUUGAAGCAGUUGACUAUGCAAUCUACCUGUAGAACAAUUCACCAACAAUGAGCAUAUGGAAUAAAACACAUCAGGAAGUGUGGAGUGGACAAUAGCCGACAGUCUCUCACUUACGAGUUUUCGGAAGUGUGGGACACAUGCAUGUACCAGAUGAAAGAAGAACAAAGCUGGACGACAAAAGCAAUAAGUAUCAGUUUGUGGGCUACUCGAAGCACUCGAAAGGAUACUAAAUGUUUAACCUCCUAACCGAGAAGGUGAUCAUUAGCAGAGACAUAACUAUCGAUGAAGAAAUAACCUGGGACUGGAAUGCUGAAACGAACACGGAGUUUAACUUUUAUCCAAUCACCAUGGAUGAAAGUGAAGAUGUUCUAGAAACAACCACACCUCUCUCUAGUCUAAGAGAACCUGGAAGUCCAGAUGGCAGUUCAAGUUAGAGUUCCAGAUAAAACACGCCAAAGUACAGACACUUGAAGAUCUGUACGAGGAAACUGAAAGCAUUGAGAAUUAAGUUGCACUCUACUGUCAUUUCAUCAAUGAUGAGCCAGUCGAUGUUGAAGAAGCAAUGCAUGAUGAUAAAUGGAAGAAAGCAAUCGAUGAAGAAAUUGGAGCAAUCGAGAAGAACAAGACUUGGGAGCUUGUACCACUUCCAGAAGACCAGAAGCCAAUUGGAGUCAAAUGGGUAUUCAAGGCGAAGAAAAAUUCCAAAGGAGAAGUCGCUCGACACAAAGCAAGACUAGUGGCGAAAGGAUACAGCCAAAGACCAGGUAUCACCCACAAUGAAGUUUUUGCACCUGUGGCUAGUAUGAAGAACAUUCGAAUGGUAAUUUCACUUUUAACACAAAAUGGAUGGAGAAUUCACCAGAUGGAUGUCAAGUCAACAUUUUUAAAUGGAUUUCUUGAAGAAGACAUAUACAUUGAGCAACCUGCUGGAGACAUAGUUGAAAGACAAAAAGACAAAGUGUUGAAGCUGAAGAAGGCGUUUUACAGGUUGAAGCAAGCAUCAGAGCGUGGAAUAGCAAGAUCGACAAAUAUUUUUAGCAAAACGGGUUCACGAAAUGUCCACAUGAACACGCCCUAUGCUCAAAGGUGCAAAAUGGAGCUAUCUUAUUGGUGGUUUUAUAUGUCGAUGAUCUAAUCUUCACAGGAAACGACCCCAAAAUGUUUGAAGAACGCAAUAAGGAAAUGGAACGCGAAUUCAAGAUGACUGACAUUGGCUUGAUGUCAUACUAUCUUGGAAUUAAAGUUUUACAAAAAGAAGAAGACAUAUUUAUCUCACAGAGCGGCUUUGCAAAAGAUAUUCUGAAGAAAUUUAAGAUGGAGAAUUGCAAUCCGGUGAACACACCAGUUGAAAUUGGACUCAAAUUAUCCAAAGAUGACAACGGAGAGAAGGUCAACCCAACAGAGUUUCGAAGUUUAAUUGGAAGUCUCAGAUAUCUCACUUGUACGAGACCAGAUAUACUCUACGCAGUUGGGUUGGUUAGUCGCUACAUGAAAUCUCCUACCAUGUCACACUAGAAUGCAACAAAGAGGAUUUUACGAUACAUCAAAGGUACAUGACUACGGUUUAUACUGUACCAAAACUGACGAUUUCAGAUUGGUUGGAUACUGUUACAGUGACUGGGCUGAAGAUGUGGAUGAUAGAAAAAACACUACCAGAUUCGUAUUCUUUCUUUGUGAUAUAACUUUCACAGGAAGUUCGAAGACGCAAGUUAUUGUGACCUUGUCUAGUUGUGACACUAUACACGCAUUGGUAAAAAUCAAACCAAUAAAAGGACAAAAACCAGGAAGUUUACGCAGAGAGAGAUGUGAGAAAAUAGCUCCAAAAUCUUUUGCUUUUGAUGUGACUCGAAGUCUGAAUUACUUUUAAUGAAAUUAGAAUGGAAACCCACCUUUUAAAUUGCAGAGGCCACUCAGUGAAAGUCCCCUCACUCAUCCCAUUGCACUCUGGAUCACACUUGUUUCUGAUCUUCACCACUUCCCAUUUUACGACCAUGUCGAAAAAUCCUGAUUUCAAGCAUCGUCCAACCGAAGACUACGAGGUUUUCUUGAGCUUCAGAUCCGGCCCCGAACAUGCCCGCCCAACAUUUGCUAACAGUCUCCACACUCGCCUCGUUCGUUCCACAAUUCGCACAGAUGUCAGUGAAGAAGGCACCAAAGUGGGGAGGAUGUCAUCAGUUCGCCAGUUCUCAACGCUAUAAACCUAUCGAUCGUCCUCAUCACGAUCAUAACGGAGAGCUAUGCUUCUAACAGAAGGUGCCUCCGGGAGCUGGCUGAGAUGGUGACUUGCAUCAAGACUGGAGGAGCAGGAAGACAGAUUAUCCUCCCUGUUUUCUACCUCGUUGAUCCAAGUGAUCUCCGGCGUCUAGAUUCUGGUCCUUACAAGGAAGCGCUGCAAGAGGUUGCCAAGAUGAAAGGAUUGCACGUCACUGAAUCGGAUAGGUAACGAUAUUAAUUAACACAUCUCUGGUUUGUUUAUGUUAAAAUACAAGCUGCACAAAGUAAAAGAACUGCAUAUAUCGAUAUAUUGACUUAAAAUGUCACGAGUUGUUGGUCGGGAUUCUAUUCCUCCCAACAUCAAUUAGGUUAAUUUGAGCGAUUAUAAUUUGUUACCUGAUUGUAUCCGAUUUUCAGACAGGAGGCUGUAAUAGACCACAUCCUUGCUGUAGUCGAGUCACGUCUGAUGCAGCCUUGAGGUUUGUCGUCUUUGAAAUCACUGCAAAGAAACCUCUCUAGUUAUUACAAUCCAGAAUUGCUCUCUUUCAGUCUUAUUCUAAUUUCCUUUCGCAGGCCACUUGGAGAAGGAGGUCCCGGAAAUCUCAAAACCAAAGAGUUAGUCUCAAACAGCUUUUCGUGAUAUGAGAUUCGCUACGCACACCCUAUACCAUAUUUCACGCUGGUCAUUGACCAUUGUAUCUGUUUUUAACGUUUUAUGAUAUGUUUGAUGAUAUGAUUUUAUCAUGUCUUUUGUACUUUAAUUUCGUUGGUGUUCGUAUGUAUGUUAUUGAAAGUUGAAUACUUUCUCUCAAGUUUCAAUCAAUGGCGCCAUCAAUUGAAGUUUAAAGGUUUUACACUUUUACUCCAACGCCGCAAGUUCGAAUAGGCAAAACGACCCAAAGUUUAGACACAAAAAAGGACUUUCGCAUCUCCCUCCAGCCCAGUCCCCAGACACCUCACCCUAGCUGCCACCGGCGCCGGCUGCCAGCCACCCUACCAAAAAAAAAUCCAAACCCAAUUCUUUAAACACCAACAACCAAAACCAGCUCCUCCAUUUUCCCAAAUCUACAAACAACAAAUACCAAUUUGAUUCUCUACAUAGAUCAAGAACAAUCAAAUACAGCCCAUCUCAUAGUAAAUUCCUUUAUAGCACAUCAAACGACAAACUCUGCAACGGGUUCCACAACAUUAUUACACAACACCCCACACAUUCCUUUAGGCACAUCCUUCAGCUUACCAUUUCAUUCCCUUCUAUCUUCUCCUUUCAGGAUUCUGGGGCAGCAGCAACAGCAGAAGGGACUUGAGAUUUUAGCAGUGGCUGCAAAGCCUUCACAACGAUGCUCAUGUUUGGCCGAAACUCUGAUUCGUACUGCACGCACAAUGCCGCCACAGCUGCCAACUGCAGAACAAUACCCCCAAUUUAUUAUGUAAAUGAGCUUUCAGAAGAAACUAUAACAUUCAAUUGACAAAGAAAGCGCAUACCUUGGCGACUCCUUUAGGUGGGUACUCUCCUUUCAGCUUUGGGUCCACACAUUGCUUCACUUUGUCUUCACUUAAUCUUGGAGUAGCCUGACAAAAGUAUACAAAACCAUUGCAACUCAGCUGAACAAAAGAAUAUUUGUACGAAAAGGCAAAGGCAGAUGAACAAAGCCUUACCCAGGUGACUAAACUUUGUUGACCUCGGGGCAUGGUAUGAUCGACUGGUUUCCUUCCAGUGAGAAGUUCGAGGAGAACCACCCCGAAGCUGUAAACAUCACUCUUCUGUGUCAAUUGUCCAGUCAUUGCGUACCUACACGAAAUCAAGGAGACCAACUGUGAGAAAAUAAUCUAUGGGUAUGCUCCCCUACUAUGCUGAAUGACUAUUUACCAUUCAAUAUGACAAAUCAAGGAAAAGGGUAAACAUUACUCUGGAGCAUGAUAACCGAAAGUCCCCAGAACGCGAGUAGAAUGCAGACGUGCGGCCAUGUCAGGGGCCUGAUUUGAUAGGUUAAAAUCUGCAAUCUUGGCUUUGAAAUCCUCAAAUAGAAGCACAUUGCUCGAUCUGACAUCUCUGUGUAUUAUGGAAGGCUG